CACAUACACACACAUAUAUAUAGAGUCAAACUAGGCUAGCAGUGAAGACUUUUCUUUUGCUGUUUUGCUGGUUUUUUUUCAGUCAUGUGUAUGAGAAACAGGGCAGUAACUCUGGCCCACUUCUCUGACAGGUCCUCCUGUUGUUAAUGCUGAGAAACUCCAGGAGCCUGCUAUUUGGAGAGAGAAAUGUGUUCCAGCUGCUGGUGCUAACAAAGAUCUGAGAAAAGUGUAGAGUUAUUUUGAGCUCCUGGGGUAAGAUGGUAGAAUGCAGAGAAACUAGAAAAUACCUACAUUUCUCUAUAGCAAGCUCUGUAUAUCUGGAUUUGACAGUAAGAACUUGGUUGACUGAUAAUUGAUGGCAACUGAGCAGUGACAUAAGAGAACACAGAGCCACACGUCAAAAGUGCCUGAACACAGAUACAGAUAGUAUCUGCAUGAAAUAUUUGACACAAAGUAAUUUACACUAUUUUAUACAUUUUCUCCCCAUUGGCUGUUUCUCAGGCUUGUUUUGUUUUUAGGGUAUAUACCUUCUUGGAAGAAAACCAUGCAAUGGUUUAGAAUGAGAAAGGGAUUUUAUAACAGUAAAGAAGGCAUUAUCCUGAUUUAUUAAAAUUUAAAAAUAAAUUGUAAGUUGUAUAAUAUGGAUGAUUGAAUAUGGACCUGGGAAGCAGUUUCCGUAAAUAACUUUUAAUGACAUUGAUAUUAUGACUAUUGGUGAGAUACUAUAUUCUGCAGACAUUUUUCUCUCUCCAACAUUGGAGAUGACAGAAUCUUCUUUACAUCUUCCCCUCUGAGACUACUUGUAAGACCAAAGGUGGUUGGUGCUUAUUUAAUGCACUGAGCUCUUUUGUAGGGCACAUUUAAAUCACUAUUUUGAUUUAAUUCUGAAUCAACUUUAUUCUUGAACUGGGAAAUUAAUUUCGACAUGAACUUGCAAAUACUCCAGUGCUUCACUCCCAAUUCGUGUUUUAGCAUCCUUCACUGGAGCAGGAAGCAGAGACAAGCUGUUGCCAUGAGUUUGUUUCAAGAGCCCAGAAAUCCUCCAGGGACUCCUUUAUUACUGCUUUUCAAAGAGGCCUUUUUUCCUCUCUUCUCCUUUUCCUGAAAAGAGGGUUAUAUCCAGUACUCAAGGACAUGGUAAGGCCAACAAGGACUGAAUCUCUAGGACUAUGAUCUCUUGAAUUGUGAAAUGUGACAUUCUUGUUGCUAGCCUGCCUUUCUUCCCACUCCGCCAAAUUAUAAUACUUCUUUUCAUUCUGCAGUUUUGUAUAAUUUUACUGUACAAUAAAAAUCAUCUUUUCAUUUUUAAAGAAUUAUACUCCCAGAUCAAUGGGCAUUUGUUUUGUUUUAAGUCGUCUGAGUAAAGAUUCAUCAAAUUAUCAUUAAAGUAACAUUUUUGGACUAUCUAUUCCAAGAUCUUAAUUGACAUAAAAAUUUCCUAAUUAAUGGGCACCAAAAAAUGUCUUAAUCUAUCAAUAAAGUUACCUUUUACUUCAAAUAUAUCAUGCUUAAAUUUUUUUUCCUCUGUAAGGUAGGAGCAAAAGAUAAAAUAUCUUUUAAACAGUUUAAAAAAGCCUGUAUUGACACUACUACUAAUUAUAGAUAUGGAUGUAGGUCCAAAAUUAGUACAUGGAUUUGAUAUAUUUUCAGUAAAGUUAGGAAUAAAAAUAACAUCACAUAUUUCAUUUUAUUUGAGGUAGCUAAGAAUAGCCAUUUUACUUUAGAAACUUCAACAAAAGGAAGCUUUUCAACUUCACAUUCUUAGGGAAAUAUAACUGUCCUGUUUCAUAGAGGACAUGGAGUAAGAGAAAAUAAGCUAGGUUUUUAAGGAGGCCAAAGGAGGCAGACUUUGUCAAUUAUAUUUAUGUUCAAUCCAAUAGAUCAUAAGGUUUGCCUCUGAAAAGAAUAUUAAUCUCAUUCUACAUGCAUUAUCAACCUCAGGCAUGAGUACAUGCUGUGGGAACAGAAAUAUGUCUGAAGGGAUAUAUGAAAUCACAGAGUAAAUGGAAUCCACAUUCUUGAAGUAGCUACAAUUCUACUUGAGGUUCCAAGGCACGUUGAUCGUACCUACACAUCUCACCAAGGACAUGGAUGCUUCUCUGCUAUCAGCUGAAGCUGCUGUGACCCCAAAACUGAAAAAUCCCAUUCUGAAUCCUUGCCAAUAAAGAAUGUCCAUCAGAGCAGGCCCAGUAUCCUAUCUCCUCAUCCAGAUAGUGUUUCUCAGUAGAGCUGGACAAUGUACAGAUUAGUUAGUCAACUGGCCAGAGUUCCAAGCUAUGUGGUGGCCUAAACAGCAUUGGAAAAAACUGGAAGUGUUGUCCCUCUCAGUCAGAUCAGCUUUCUGCACAUGACUCCUCAGGUAAGUGGUCAAAUGGAAAUUGGCUCCACUUCUGAUUCAAUAGGCUGGUUCUCAGUAAAGAUUUCUUGAAUGUGAAAGUUCUCUCUUUACUGAACUGUUUGCUGGAAAUAAAAAUUGGUUCUUCAGAAAACCAAAUAUCGCAUGUUCUCACUUACAAGUGGGGGCUAAAUGAUGAGAACACGUGAACACAGAGAAGGGAACAACACACCCUGGGACCUGUCAGAGGGUAGAGGAUGGAGGGUAGGAGGAGGGACAGGAUCAGAAAAAAAUCACUAAUGGAUACUAGGCUUAAUACCUGGGUGAUCAAAUAAUUGGUACAGCAAAUCCCUGUGACACAAGUUUACCUAUGUGACCAACCUGUAUAUGUACUACUGAUCUUAAAAUAGAAGUUAAAGUAAAUCA